GAUGAACGCUAGCGGCAGGCUUAACACAUGCAAGUCGAGGGGUAGAGUUAGCUUGCUAACUUGAGACCGGCGCACGGGUGCGUAACGCGUAUGCAAUCUACCUUGUACAGAGGGAUAGCCCAGAGAAGUUUGGAUUAAUACCUCAUAGUAUUAUUGAAUGGCAUCAUUUGAUUAUUAAAGUUCCAACGGUACAAGAUGAGCAUGCGUCCCAUUAGCUAGAUGGUAAGGUAACGGCUUACCAUGGCAACGAUGGGUAGGGGUCCUGAGAGGGAGAUCCCCCACACUGGUACUGAGACACGGACCAGACUCCUACGGGAGGCAGCAGUGAGGAAUAUUGGUCAAUGGGCGCAAGCCUGAACCAGCCAUGCCGCGUGCAGGAAGACGGUCCUAUGGAUUGUAAACUGCUUUUAUACGGGAAGAAACCCUGCUUCGUGUAGCAGCUUGACGGUACCGUAAGAAUAAGCAUCGGCUAACUCCGUGCCAGCCGCCGCCGUAA
rnacentral:rRNA from 1 species